rnacentral:piRNA from 1 species
AGUGAUUGUCUUUGGGAGUUCUUGAAC